rnacentral:rRNA from 1 species
CCUACGGGAGGCAGCAGUGGGGAAUAUUGGACAAUGGGGGCAACCCUGAUCCAGCCAUGCCGCGUGUGUGAAGAAGGCCCUCGGGUUGUAAAGCACUUUCAGUGAGGAAGAACGCCUGGUGGUUAAUACCCAUCAGGAAAGACAUCACUCACAGAAGAAGCACCGGCUAACUCCGUGCCAGCAGCCGCGGUAAUACGGAGGGUGCGAGCGUUAAUCGGAAUUACUGGGCGUAAAGCGCGCGUAGGUGGCUUGAUAAGCCGGUUGUGAAAGCCCCGGGCUCAACCUGGGAACGGCAUCCGGAACUGUCAAGCUAGAGUGCAGGAGAGGAAGGUAGAAUUCCCGGUGUAGCGGUGAAAUGCGUAGAGAUCGGGAGGAAUACCAGUGGCGAAGGCGGCCUUCUGGACUGACACUGACACUGAGGUGCGAAGGCGUGGGUAGCAAACAGGAUUAGAUACCCCGGUAGUC